AGCGAACGCUGGCGGCGUGCCUAAUACAUGCAAGUCGAGCGAGAAAGUUCCCUUCGGGGAGUGAGUAAAGUGGCGCACUGGUGAGUAACACGUAGAUAAUCUCCCCUAGAGCGUGGACUAACUCCGGGAAACUGGGGCUAAUACCGCAUACACUGAUUGAGACGCAUGUCUUGAUUAGCAAAGGAGGCCUCUAUUUAUAAGCUUUCACUUUAGGAUGAGUCUGCGUUCCAUUAGGUAGUUGGUAGGGUAAUGGCCUACCAAGCCAAAGAUGGAUAGCUGGUCUGAGAGGACGACCAGCCACACUGGCACUGAAACACGGGCCAGACUCCUACGGGAGGAAGCAGUAGGGAAUAUUGCACAAUGGGCGAAAGCCUGAUGCAGCGACGCCGCGUGAGGGAUGAAGGGCUUCGGCUCGUAAACCUCUGUCAGGUGGGACGAUGGGACAUAUGGCUAAUAUCCAUGUGUUUUGACGGUACCGCCGGAGGAAGCACCGG
rnacentral:rRNA from 1 species